rfam:Candidatus Staskawiczbacteria bacterium RIFCSPLOWO2_01_FTLL_33_9 rifcsplowo2_01_scaffold_38889, whole genome shotgun sequence.
AGCGGGAUGGAGCAGCCUGGAGUGCUCGCGAGGCCCAUAACCUCGAGGUCGUGUGGUUCAAAUCCCACUCCCGCUA